CGGCCCCUAACUCCGCAUGAAAGACAGUCGUGUCAGGUAAGCGACUGCCUCCAAUAGUAAUAAAGCAGAAAUCGAGACCUGUAAUGAUAAAUUAUGAUCCACCUCUAUAAUUACCAUUAGAUAUACUAUCAUCAAAGUUCACAAGGAAGCUAAGAAUAGGAGCUCUUAAGUAAUGAAGAUCAUCUAGGUCACUGAUCUGCAAUAUAUAGCUAUGAGG
rnacentral:lncRNA from 1 species